rnacentral:rRNA from 1 species
GUCGGUGUUUAUUACGAAGAGGGUCCACCCGUUCUUAUUCUGUUUUCUUUAGUUAAGCUCUUCAGUGCCGAAAAUACUUUGCGGGAAGCUGCCUGGGAAAAUAGGUCGAUGCCGACA